rnacentral:rRNA from 1 species
CGACGAGGGAUCAUUACCGAGUUUACAACUCCCAAACCCCUGUGAACAUACCUUAUGUUGCCUCGGCGGAUCAGCCCGCGCCCCGUAAAAAGGGACGGCCCGCCGCAGGAACCCUAAACUCUGUUUUAGUGGAACUUCUGAGUAUAAAAACAAAUAAAUCAAAACUUUCAACAACGGAUCUCUUGGUUCUGGCAUCGAUGAAGAACGCAGCAAAAUGCGAUAAGUAAUGUGAAUUGCAGAAUUCAGUGAAUCAUCGAAUCUUUGAACGCACAUUGCGCCCGCCAGUAUUCUGGCGGGCAUGCCUGUUCGAGCGUCAUUUCAACCCUCAAGCCCAGCUUGGUGUUGGGAGCUGCAGUCCUGCUGCACUCCCCAAAUACAUUGGCGGUCACGUCGAGCUUCCAUAGCGUAGUAAUUUACACAUCGUUACUGGUAAUCGUCGCGGCCACGCCGUUAAACCCCAACUUCUGAAUGUUGACCUCGGAUCAGGUAGGAAUACCCGCUGAACUUAA